UGUGGUACAAAACAAGUCUG
rnacentral:snRNA from 1 species